rnacentral:sRNA from 1 species
CGAACACUGAGCGCUUGGCAGCGUCAGGCACAAGGCAUACCUGAGGAUAGAACGUAGAUCUGUCCGUUCGCGAACUGUUCGAUAUCGAGGGACAACGAGCCGGAGGAAGUCAGCGCGGGCGACGUCGGUGAGCGAGAAAUUGUGGCCAGCGUCCUUCGCUUGGACAUCAAUGGCUACUGCCUGCUUAGGGCUGAGUCAAAUGGCAGCAAAAUGGGCAGGGAGCGGGCAGACAGCUCGUUCUCGUAUUCCAAGGUUUUGCUUGACUGGGAACACCGAUAAACAGAAAAAGAAAAAUUAGCCA